AGGGGUGUGACAUUAUACAGCUUUCUCCAUCCGGGGCUUCUCUGCUGGCCAUAAAAGGCUAAUGUAGUACUAGUUGUGGCUUUAACGCGAGCGAGGGAGGGAGGGGGAGUUCUCUCAUGGAAAUCCUGGAGUCAAGGAAGGGUUUUGGCGCAUGCGCUUUGAAACCCGUUUCGGUUAGUGAGGUAAAAUGGCGAGCGAAGGAGUGUAAUAGGGGAGAGGUUGAGGGUAAGGAAUGCUGGAGGAGGAGGCGCCGACCAAGAGGAGCCUAAGGGUAGAUCUGCUUGCAGUUCUGACUUGGAAGAUUGGUGAUGAGAGUCUGAAACAAGUAUUUUGACAUCUUUACAUUAAUCCUUAAAUACAAGGACAGACAAAUCUCUGCUUAUCAUUUGGGUGUAGCUCUGGAAACACUUGAACAGUUCCUAAACUGCUGCUGCUGAAUUGUAGAAAGUUCCCCUUGAAUCUGAAUGUAUCAGUUUGCUUUGUGUUUUUGAUGUAUUAAAAUACAAACGAGAAA